rnacentral:rRNA from 1 species
AGUCGAACGGCAGCACGGGAGCAAUCCUGGUGGCGAGUGGCGAACGGGUGAGUAAUAUAUCGGAACGUGCCCAGUCGUGGGGGAUAACGCAGCGAAAGCUGUGCUAAUACCGCAUACGAUCUCUGGAUGAAAGCGGGGGACCGCAAGGCCUCGCGCGAUUGGAGCGGCCGAUAUCAGAUUAGCUAGUUGGUGGGGUAAAAGCCCACCAAGGCGACGAUCUGUAGCUGGUCUGAGAGGACGACCAGCCACACUGGAACUGAGACACGGUCCAGACUCCUACGGGAGGCAGCAGUGGGGAAUUUUGGACAAUGGGCGCAAGCCUGAUCCAGCAAUGCCGCGUGCAGGAUGAAGGCCUUCGGGUUGUAAACUGCUUUUGUACGGAACGAAACGGCUUCUUUUAAUACAAGAGGCUAAUGACGGUACCGUAAGAAUAAGCACCGGCUAACUACGUGCCAGCAGCCGCGGUAAUACGUAGGGUGCGAGCGUUAAUCGGAAUUACUGGGCGUAAAGCGUGCGCAGGCGGUUAUAUAAGACAGAUGUGAAAUCCCCGGGCUCAACCUGGGACCUGCAUUUGUGACUGUAUAGCUAGAGUACGGUAGAGGGGGAUGGAAUUCCGCGUGUAGCAGUGAAAUGCGUAGAUAUGCGGAGGAACACCGAUGGCGAAGGCAAUCCCCUGGACCUGUACUGACGCUCAUGCACGAAAGCGUGGGGAGCAAACAGGAUUAGAUACCCUGGUAGUCCACGCCCUAAACGAUGUCAACUGGUUGUUGGGUCCUCACUGACUCAAUAACGAAGCUAACGCGUGAAGUUGACCGCCUGGGGAGUACGG